GAUGAACGCUGGCGGCGUGCCUAAUACAUGCAAGUCGAGCGAACAGACGAGGAUCUUGCUCCUCUGACGUUAGCGGCGGACGGGUGAGUAACACGUGGAUAACCUACCUAUAAGACUGGGAUAACUUCGGGAAACCGGAGCUAAUACCGGAUAAUAUAUUGAACCGCAUGGUUCAAUAGUGAAAGACGGUUUUGCUGUCACUUAUAGAUGGAUCCGCGCCGCAUUAGCUAGUUGGUAAGGUAACGGCUUACCAAGGCAACGAUGCGUAGCCGACCUGAGAGGGUGAGCGGCCACACUGGAACUGAGACACGGUCCAGACUCCUACGGGAGGCAGCAGUAGGGAAUCUUGCGCAAUGGGCGAAAGCCUGACGGAGCAACGCCGCGUGGGUGAUGAAGGUCUUCGGAUCGGAAAACACUGUUAUUAGGGAAGAACAAAUGUGUAAGUAACUAUGCACGUCUUGACGGUACCUAAUCAGAAAGCAACGGCUAACUACGUG
rnacentral:rRNA from 1 species